AACGUAGGAGACGAACGUUAUCCGGAGUUACUGGGCGUAAAGGGCGUGUAGGCGGUUUGUUAAGUCUGGCGUGAAAGCUCUCGGCUAAACCGGGAGAGGUCGUUGGAUACUGGCAAACUUGAGGAUGGUAGAGGCGUGUGGAAUUCCGGGUGUAGUGGUGAAAUGCGUAGAGAUCCGGAGGAACACCAGUGGCGAAGGCGACACGCUGGGCCAUACCUGACGCUAAAGCGCGACAGCAUGGGGAGCAAACGGG
rnacentral:rRNA from 1 species